AUUUUUGUAAGACGUGGAUCUGUAUGUCAACAAUUGUCGUUUGUGUACCUUGGCUGAUCCUGGACAGGGGUUUUAAUGCACAUUCAGCUUAGAAAUUCUGGUUCGUGAAUUUCUGGGCUCAACAAUGGUGCCCCAUCCCAAAAAUUACCUUUGAAUUAUACUAGGUUAUUUAAAAACUAAACUUUCUAUAUAAAAGUUUCUUUUAUAAACAAAUAAAUCUAUUUUUCAAGUUAAUAGCUAAUACUUAAUUAAUCACACGCUAAUGACUCAUCUCGUUUUCAUGCCGGUGAUAAUCUUCAGCCUGCAGCACAUUCAAAUGGAGCCUUACUCUAACAUUAUUCCUUCAUGAUAUAUUAUUAUCAUAAGUACACGGGAGCCCUCGAAACCAAAAUCACAUAGGGAUUAUGGUUGACUAGAAACAUGUUUGAGUGGAUAUAUCAAUCAGGUAAGGCGCAACAUGAUGUCUCGUUCAUUUGUAGUUUGAUUGUUAACAUAUUCUCGACCAAAUCGUAGUUAUCUUUUGUCACCGAAAGAUCAGGAUCCCAAGACACAUCCAAAUCUAGAUUGAUGGAUGGUCUACUUCGCCAAGUAUUAGGAAUGCUUGGUUAAAGGGGUGUUUUGCUUCAUAUCCAUAAUUUGUAGAUUCAUAUUUUUUAACUCCAUAGAGCAUCCUCUCUGCCAUUGUAAACAUGACAAAUGUUUAAGUUAAUCUCCUUACUUCUAAGCAAAACCUAAUUUCCUUUGCUUGUUGCUAACAACCAAGGAAUUAAUAUAUAUCUAUAUGCCAUAUCAUCUGUCUAUCCUUUGUAAAGUCACUUGCCCUUGCAUUACUUACAACUUGCUUCACGAAAAAAUAGCAGUGUGAAAGUGCACAAUAGUUUUAUAGGAUACGCAUGAGUUUCAUAGCAUUCACUUUGCAUGCCCAAACUGGUAAGCAAACAAAUGCCACAUGUCUGUAUCAUCUACCUUUCUCAUACAAAUCAUUAUCUUGUAGCAUGGAAGAAAAUCUGUUUGUUUCAAAGCACACAUGCAUUUUGUCAUAUUUCCUUUUGUGCACUUAUCCAAACAAAUGAAACAAAGGAACCACGUAUACAAACUUUUUCAUACUUAUCUGAACUUAUCGAACAAAGGAUCCACGCAAGCCUGGCUAGAUGGCAUAUGACCUAUUGAUCGCGUGCGUAACAAUCAGUUCACUUUGUGCAUCGUUAUACUUAUCGGUAUCCCUAUAAAUAGGCAGGCUAUGUUGCACAUAAAGAACACAAUUCAAUUAUACAGCAAAUAAUUCACAAUUAUUAGAAUUGUAGCGAAGAUGUCCCAUUGGGGCCAUAGACCAGCAAGGGCCAAGCACCAUAGAGUUCCAUCUCUAAUUCCGGAGGACUUCGCUGUUGUAGACUUCAAGGAGGAGACUAUAGUGUCCCGUGGAGAAAACACAACGGGAAGACAACCACUUAGGGAGGAACCACAGAAGAUGACAGUGAUGGAGGAAUCACACAAUAUUCACAAUCAGGCCAAGCAUCAGUGCUCUAAGGAGCUAAGCGAUGAAGAGGACUCUGAGAAGGGUGAAAGUAGUGGUCAAAAGAAUGGUGAUGAUAAAAAGGAUUCCAAAAAGCAUGGUAGCAAUGGUGAAAAACGAGUAUGAUAAUUGAAGGUAUAUAUGCAGUGAAGAUGUAUGGAUCCUAUGAAACUAGCAAUAAAUGGAAUAAGCAUGCAUGGCUUGCUUAAUAGUAAUUAUAACCAUAUGUGGAAAUGGAUAUUUGAAUUCCAGUAGUUAUUGUAAGUAUUUUUAGUUUCUUCUAUGAAAGUUAUGUAUUAUAAUUUUAUUAAUACCUACUCCCUUCAUUCCAAAAUAAACCAACCUACUAAGCAUGUGACACAUCCUAGUACCAGGUUGGUUUAUUUUGGGACGGAGGGAAUACCAAUCUUGCUAUCUCGUCAUAUCAUCAGUGGCUUUAUUGUCUA